rnacentral:tRNA from 1 species
GCGCGGUUAGCUCAGGGGUAGAGCACUACCUUGACACGGUAGGGGUCACAGGUUCGAAACCUGUACCGCGCACCA